UGUCCAGGCCGAGGCAGCAAAGCAGCCCCAAACCAUGAUGCUCCCUCCACCAUACUUUACAGUUGGGAUAUUUUUGCCAGUAGCACUGGAAUAUCCAGGUGCAGGGGGAGGCCCCCUGGUUGUAACCUUUUGCCUGUCCACGACCAUUCUCUUGCCUAUUCCCUUUGGAUUUAUUAAACAUCUUAAACUCCAACCAUCUGCCUCUUGUGUCUGCAUUUGGGUCUCGCCUAGUGUCAUGAUACCUACACUGUGAAUGUUUAAAUGAUGUAUUCAAUACAGACAAGAAAUACAAUUUAUGUGUUAUUUGUUUAAGCACGCUAUGUUUGUCUGUUGUGACUUAGAUCGGAUCAUUUUGCAGAAAUCCAGGUAACUCCAAAGGGUUCACAUAAUUUUGUUGCCACUGUACGAGUAUUCUGUUUUGUGAGUGUUACAGCUGCAGAACUCACGGACAGUGAUCCAGGAGAGAGAUCAAGUGAUCAGGGAUCCAGAGGGGAAGAACACAGAGAUGCGUGACCAGAUGGAGUACUUCCUGGAGGGUCAGAAGCCCACCUCUCUGCCCACCAAAGAAUGGAAACCCAAACCCCAUCAUCUACAGUAAGCUGAUAAAACCUUCAACAAUGCAAGGCAACAAGUCACUUCUUUUAAUCAUUCAUUGAGGUCAAGGCUUGGGAGCGGGAGAGAGAAUAGUAUGUGAGUAGUCUGUCUACGCAUGUACAGUGUAUUCGGAAAGUAUUCCGACAACUUGACUUUUUCCAAAUAUUGUUACGUUACAGCCUUAUUCUAAAAUGUAUUAAAUUGUUUUAUU